UACGAAGGGUGCAAGCGUUGCUCGGAAUUACUGGGCGUAAAGGGCGCGUAGGCGGUUCGGUAAGUCUGUCGUGAAAUCCCCGGGCUCAACCUGGGAAUGGCGAUGGAUACUGGCGAGCUAGAGUGUGUCAGAGGAUGGUGGAAUUCCCGGUGUAGCGGUGAAAUGCGUAGAGAUCGGGAGGAACAUCAGUGGCGAAGGCGGCCAUCUGGGACAACACUGACGCUGAAGCACGAAAGCGUGGGGAGCAAACAGG
rnacentral:rRNA from 1 species